rnacentral:tRNA from 1 species
GGCGCUAUAGUGUAGUGGUUAUCACUCGAGAUUUUGACAAAUUUCAUGAUUCUCGAAACCCAGGUUCGAUACCUGGUAGCGCCU